UUAACUGAAUUAGUGAUUGGUUAGGUUUUAUUUUAGGAGAAUUGUAUGUCACUAACUAAAGAACAAAGAGCAGAAAUUAUUUCUACUUAUGGCCGCAACG
rnacentral:ncRNA from 1 species